CUGCGCGUGAGGGGCGUGGUGGUUCACGCCUGUAAUCCCAACACUUUGGGAAGCCGAGGUGGGCAGAUCAUUUGAGCUGAGGAGUUCAAGACCAGCCUGGACAACAUGCUGAAACCCCAUCUCUACUAAAACUACAAAGAAUUAGCCAGGCAUGGUAGCACAUGCCUGUAGUCCCAGCCACUCAGGAGCCUAAGGCAGGAGAAUUGCUUGAACUUCCCCAGCUUCAAGAGGAAGAGUCUGCAGUGAGCCGAGAUGGCGCCACUGCACUCCAGCCUGGGUGACAAGAGUAAAACUCCCUCUCAAAACAAACAAACAAACCAAAAAAACAAAUAGCAACAGCAACCACAAUCAUCAUCACCAUCAAGGCUGGAACAAGGAUGAGGCAGGCAGGCUCUGAUAGCAACAGGAGGAAGCAGACCAAGGAGGGAGAGAAAGGAAGGCAGAGAAGGGGAAAAAAAAACACAAAUGAUAAUAAUAGAUGCUGACAUUUACGGAGCACUUACUAUGUGCUGGGAACCAUGCUGACGGCACACCGAAUCCACUGAACAGGACCUACUGUUAAGUUUUCAAGACCACCCAGAAAGAAAUUUGAAGUUGGGUUUAUAUCCUUAAUCCCUCAGUUAGAAAAAAAAGAAAAGUGAAGAAACUGCAUCUCCAAGAUCCUGCUAUAUCAACUUCAGUUUUUUGAAGUUAAAUUUGAUUUUUAAAUCCCUUGGCUGAUGAGACCUGUGUGGGUUUUUUUUUGUUGUUUUUUUGUUUUGUUUUGUUUUGUUUUAUCAUUGUACCUCUAUUUUAAAAAUAGAGACUUGUGGUUCUUUUUCCAAAAGCAGUCCAACAGAAAGUGAAUGGUGGUCAAUGCAUAAUAAAAUGAGAGUUACCUUUUGACUUGGAAGAAUUAUUAGCAUUUUGAUUUGAUGGGUUCUUAGCUCUUCAAAUUCAAAAAUACCUUAUUCAAG
rnacentral:lncRNA from 1 species